ensembl:lncRNA
CCACUGUGAUAGCAAGGCGUUUACGGUGUAUCCCUCAGAGAAAUUAACGCUUUUAUGACAAAUUCUUUUACAGGUUAUACCAUAGACUGUAUAUGGGUUAUACCAAGAAAGGGAGCGUCCAUUUUCCAGAGUUUACACAGUAAACGCCGUGUGGGUGAAAUUUUAAAGAUGAUACUCUGACGUCCCAUUCCCGCGAAGGCAGCACGGAGCUGCGCCACACGAAGCUGACGGAAACACUGAAGAAGAGUUAUGAUACACCUCGCAAUGGCGUAAACUGGCAUGUUUUAAUGUUGCAGACCAUAGUUUUGUGCUUGUAGUUGAAACUUUAAUCUCGUAUUGUUGUGAAUCUUCGGUAUAAACUCGAAAUAAAACAAAGGGCACCUCAACACCCCCUUUCCAAAAUAUUGCUUCGAGCGCCCCCCGUCGUCCUCUGAACGGCCCAUGGGGGGACGGUACCGCCCCCGUUGAGAAACACUGCAGUAUAAUGAUGUGCAUAUGGCUAAAAAGACAGGAUUUACAGUAUUUCUUUCUCAUCUUUUACACUGACAACAUGUUAAGUCUAUGACGAAUUUCAAUAGCUUACUGUCAACAUACAACAAUUGGACGUGCAUUAAUGAUCGUUCUGAAUUGGUCCCUGCAAUAUAAGAGGCAGGGCUUUUUUCUAUAGAGCUCCAUAUGCCGAUGCGCCACAGACUCAGUCUCAACCUAUAAUUCUUUGCUAAAGACUCACCUUGUCAGAGAGCUCUGUGUUCUGUACCUCCCUUAGGUGGACUCUGUGGUUAUGAAGUCAUUUGAGCACCUUGUGCUGUCCCGCCUCCAGACCAUCACCGACUCACUACUAGACUCAGCAGUUUGCCUACCGAACCAACAGCUCCCCUGCAGAAAGGCUCAUGUCCGCCAGGGGGCACCAACAACAACAGAAACCCUCCCAGCACCCACCAGAUGGGGAGACGAACCAACCUCAAGUGAAAAUCAUCCAUACGACCAGACUCAGAGUCAGCCUGAACCAGACAUUGACUGCUUCGGUCAGCUGGUCUGGAGAUGUAGUUUCCUCGAGACCUGGAAAUCCAGCUGAGACUCUGGGUAUCUCCGGGUGACCUGAACAGAGGUAAGAGUGUUUGACCAAGAUGAUCCACAGCUGAAAAAUUAGAGGAUCGGGUCUAAUAUGGCACCCAACAGUAAUCAGCAGAUGCUGUGGGUUGGGUGGCCUAGUACAGUUAUGCACUCAUCUUGCACUUGUCUACUCCACCACCACGCCUUGUGACCUCAGAUAUUCCACAGCUUGCUCAAGGAGUAUUGUGUUAUGCCUUCCAUCAAAAUGCAAGAUGCCAGCAGUAUACCAAGCCUCAUGGAACGUAAUUUCACCUCAACAUCAUGUUGCCUCAGGUGGUCCCACUGUCGAAAUGAUUGCCUCUGGUACAUACAGUGGGGAGAACAAGUAUUUGAUAAACUGCCGAUUUUGCAGGUUCCCACUUACAAAGCAUGUAGAAGUCUGUA